rnacentral:lncRNA from 1 species
CCCGAGUUGCCGUGGCUGUGAUGUAGGCUGGCAGCUGCAGCUCCGAUUCGACCCCUAGCCUGAGAACCUCCAUAUGCCACAGGUGCAGCCCUAAAAAGCAAAAACAAAAGCAAAAAAAAAGAGGAUGAAUUUCCUUACUGUUUCAAAGAAAGAAAGCUGGUCAUUUAAAAGAAGAAGGGAAACAAAGACGCUCUCAGCAUCCUCUGGCUGCCUUUCCCACCAGCUGCUGUUGCCACGGUCAGCACCACGGACAGCAACAGCUCUGGUUUCAGAACAUGGAAACCGAAGGAAGAUUGGAUCUGUGGUGGCCUGAAAGAUCA